GGAGAUUUGUGACCUUAUAAAGGAGAUUCCAGAAAGCUAGCUGGCUUCUUCCAACAUGUGAGGUCAUAAUGAAAAGAUGGCGGUCUAUGAACCAGGAAGCAGGCUCUCAGCAGACGCUGAGUCUUCCAGUGCCUUGAUUUUAGAAUUCCUUGACUCCAGAACUAAAGCAAAUGUCUGCAGAAGAGUAUUUGGGAAUCAGUAAAGCAACUAUGGUUUCCUGAGAGACAGAUCCCAGAAAGAAACAGCUCCAGGAAACCAGGAAUCCACCAUUGAUUUUCAGCCUCAAGUCCAGGGACUGACCUACACUGAAGGUUCAGCAGGCUGGAUGGAGGACUUCCCUGAGGUACAUGAAAAGAUGUUCAACAUCAGUAAUCAUCAGGAAAAUGCAGAUCAAAACCACAAUGAUGUAUUACUUCAUACCUGUUAGAAUGGCUAUCAUCAAGAAGAUAAGGGAUAAUAAGUGCUGGCCAGGAUGUGGAGAAAAGGGAACACUUGUGCACUGUUGAUGGGAAUGUAAAUUGGUUCAGCUACUAUGGAAAACAGUAUGAAAGUGCUUCAAAAAGUUAAAAAUAGGUCUAUCAUAUUGCCAUACUUCUUAAAGGCAUGUAGACACAUGAAUGUACCCAAUACAAAUAGUAUUUUGUGCUGUUUGCUAUUUUAUAUAUCAUUUUGCAGGGGUUUAUUUUCACUAAACUAGUAUGUUUUGGGGGGUUGUUCAUUCUAUAAAAAUCUUCCUUAUCAUGCACAACUGCUAUAGUAUAUUCUCUAGUAUGCCUUAUCCAUUCAAUAAUUGAUAGUAUUUUACAACUUUUUUUUUUUAUUUUUCACAAACAAGAUGCUAAAAACACCCUGGGACAAGCCUACUUGUUUGUCUGGGUUUCCCUACAAUUGUGUUCUACUGAUUCACACUGCAUCAUAUCUAUCCUGCCCUUGUCAUGUCUCCAAGCAAGCAAAGCACAUUCCCUGUCCCAUUAUUGGCUUUGGACCUGUGAGCACCACAUCAGAAGGGACACUCUGCUUCAGAUGGUGUGGUUCAGCUCCACCUGUUGCUCUUUCUCCCUUUGCCUCAGGAACAGCAUAUCUGAGAUAAGGGCUGCUUUCUUCCAUCUAUGACUCCAUAAUGGGAGCACAUGAAGAGAAGACCAGAGCUGACCCACAUUCCCAAGUGGUGGUAACAGAGAAAGAGAGAUUUCUUAUUAUACCACUCUGGGAUAUUAGGGACAUUCAAUACCAUUGCAAAAGCUGAAUAGUGUAACUAAAUUCUAACAAGUAGAAUGGUUGAGUCGUAAGUUUAAGUCCAUUCUACAAAUAUUUGAAGUAAAAGAUUUUGAACCUACUGUUCCAGAUUCUGGGGUUCAUAGCAGUGUAUAGCAGUGAAGAAAAGCAAGUUCCUACUGGCAGGGUGCUUAUGUUCUGCACAUGUUAUGAAUUUUUAAAGUUUUAAUAAAUGCCAUUAAAUUGCCUUCCCCUAAUAUAUAGUUAUAAAUAGAGAGGAAAUUUAGGGUGCUUUGUCUUUCCAGAUUGCUUCUCCUCUAUUCCCUAACCUGCAAUGAAGUGCUUUCAUUCUAAGCAUGAGCUCAGCAAAGCUGGCUGUACAACUAACUCUCACCUUAUAGACCCUGGAAGCCAGUCUGGCUGUGGAUAUUCUACCUGAGAGAGAUACAGACAGAGCAUGAGCAGGAGAGGAGCAGAGAAAGAGGGAGGCACAGAAUCUGAAGCAGGAUCCAGACUCUGAUCUGUCAGCACAGAGCUCAACGUGAGUCUCUAACUCAGGAAUCACAAGAUCAAGACCCGAGCAGAAGUUGGAUGCUUAACUGUCUGAGCCACCCAGGUGCUCCAGGAUUCUGUUAUUUUUUAAUACCUGUCCACCUUCCACUUUCUGCAUCCAUCCAUGUCCAGGAUGAGCUGAUUUAUGGAGAGCUACUGUGGACACCCUCAUCUUCUGGCUUCUUGAUGGGCUGAAGAGAAUGGGGAAUGGGGAGAGAGUGCCAUCAUGGCACUAGACUUCUCCAUACUGGGCUCCUGGGUUGGCAGUGGCUACUUCACUUUUCUGGGAGUUUAUGUGCUGUGACUUUCUCUUAGAGCUACAGUUACUUUUAUAAGAUUUAGUGGUCCCUCUCCCCAGUGGCCCCUGCAGGCCUGUGGGAAAUUUGGAGUUCUUACUGUUGCUGGACUUGAAGUGUGUCACCAUUCUUUGUCAUCUUCUAUAACUCUGUUCAUGUUGAGUGAAUAGAUGUUUCAUUAAAGUUUCCUUCACUAUGCCACUUGUUUCCUGUCAGAGACUGAUGGUAACCAUCACAAUUGCAGGAAAUACCAGGGUAUAUAAGUGAUCAAAUAAAAGUCACAUAAGAAACA